rnacentral:tRNA from 1 species
GCUGGGAUAGCUCAGUUGGUAGAGCACAAGACUCUUAAUUCCAGGGUUGUGGGUUAGAGCUCCAUGUUGGGUG